AACUAGAUCAAUUAAGAAGCAUCUUAUUUAAUAAAGUUCAAUAACUAACUCAUGUAUUAAAACUUUAAGAUAAGUUAAAUUAAUUGAUCAGCAACUUAUUUAUUAAACUAAAACAAGUUAAUUAAAAGAAACAAAUUCAGGUUGCAAUAAAUUGCAAGUAACGCCUUUUGAACGGUUUGAAGCACGACUAUCAAAUCCGGCCACUCCCUCUUCCCAAGCUCGUUCCACAUAGCUUGCUAUUGCAUUUCGAAAUCUCUUAGCUUGUGAUCGAGUUAUUGGUCCUCGUGGCAGCUCAAUGGAUUCGGUAGUAAUUUCUCG
rnacentral:lncRNA from 1 species